rnacentral:miRNA from 1 species
UCGGCUACUUUCGGGCACGUGUU